rnacentral:lncRNA from 1 species
GUUGUGAGCUGCCGCAAACACUGGUGGCUGGAGGGAGACGCCGGCGCCGAAGAGAGCGCUGCGCCGCUGGCCGCUAAGGGAACGCAGGGGCUGCCGCUGCUGGCCACUGCUGCUGGCCGUUUCCAGCCUUCGCCGAGAGGAUUCCUGCAUUCUAAAGGAAAAUUAAGCUUGGUUGCAGUACAGCUACAUUCUCUAUCAAUUCUGAUAUUAUAACUCCUUUGGACUUUGUAUACUGACUCUGUCCCUUGCCCUUACCUAUUAGGUUGGUGUGGGAAUUAAAACAACACAAAUAUUUUGACUGGGGAUUUGAACAAGCAAAUGCUAAAAAGGUAUUAUAUUUAUAGUAUUUAUAAAAUAUCCAAGGGGGCGCCUGGGUGGUGCAGUUGGUUAAGCGUCUGACUUUUGGUUUUGGCUCAGGUUGUGAUCUCAGGGUCAUCGAGAUCAAGCUCUGUGUCGGGCUUUGCAUUCAGUGCAGAGUCUGCUUGGGAUUCUCUCUCCCUCCAUCCCUCCCACUUGCGCGCUCUCUUGCUCUCUCUCUCUCAAAUAAAUAAAUCUUAAAAAAAAAAAAACGCA